rnacentral:rRNA from 1 species
GAUGAACGCUGGCGACAUGCCUAAUACAUGCAAGUCGAACGAACAGGCCCAUGAAAUUUGAAAGUACUUGUACCGGAUUUUGGAUUGGAUUCUCCUGUUAGUGGCGAACGGGGUAGUAACGCGUGGGAAACCUGCCCAUGGGAUGAGGAUAACUAUUGGAAACGAUAGCUAAUACUGAAUAUGAUAUUAAAACACAUGUUUAAAUAUUAAAAGGCGCGUUUGCGUCGCCCAUGGAUGGUCACGCGUUGUAUUAGCUAGUUGGUGAGGUAAUGGCUCACCAAGGCUACGAUACAUAACCGGGCUGAGAGGCUGAACGGUACCACUAGGACUGAGACACGGCCUAGACACCUACGGGUGGCAGCAGUAGGGAAUUUUUCGCAAUGGACGAAAGUCUGACGGAGCAAUGCCGCGUGAACGAUGAAGGUCUUCGGAUCGUAAAGUUCUGUUGUAAGGGAAGAACACCAAGGAUAGGAAAUGAUCUUUGGCUGACGGUACCUUGCCAGAAAGGGACGGCUAACUUCGUGCCAGCAGCCGCGGUAAUACGAAGGUCCCAAGCGUUAUCCGGAAUUAUUGGGCGUAAAGCGCAUGUAGGCGGUUUACUAAGUCUGGUGUGAAAGCUCACGGCCUAACCGUGAAAUUGCAUUGGAAACUGGUGAACUAGAAUACUGGAGGGGUAAGUGGAAUUCCAUGUGUAGCGGUGGAAUGCGUAGAUAUAUGGAGGAACACCAAUGGCGAAAGCAGCUUACUGGACAGAGAUUGACGCUGAGAUGCGAAAGCGUGGGGAGCCAACAGGAUUAGAUACCCUGGUAGUCCACGCCGUAAGCGAUGUGUGCUAGAAGUCGGGAUAACUCGGUUUCGAAGCUAACGCAUUAAGCACACCGCCUGGGGACUGCAGCCCCAGGCUG